rnacentral:sRNA from 5 species
AUAUCUCUCUGUACGGGAAGGAUGAGAAGCUUCGACUAAGGUUCGAUUCGAGCGUCAGCGAGAAAGCGUUGCCGCAGGCAACGACCCGA